UUACUGCCCAAUAGCACAUACAGAGCAUAUGGAAUGGUACAGAGAAGAUUAGCAUGGCCCCUGUACAAUGAUGAUACAAAAAUUCAUAAAGAGUUCCAUAUUUUU
ensembl:snRNA U6 U6 spliceosomal RNA